GUUGUUGUUGUUGUUGUUGUUGUUGUUUUUUCUUCACUGAAAAAAUCCCCAAUUUGGUUGUUUUUUUUUUUUUUUUUUUGAAAAGAGUAACGGCGUCUAAGGAUGAUUUGGAGCCAAAAAAAAAAUCCUUAAUUUUCUCUGCUUCUUGAGAUAGACGUGGCUUCCUUGAUUAUUUUCACCGAGGUUUCUCGCUUCAAAUUGCAAUGCUUUGAUGAUAAUCUCUUUAUAAAAAGGAGCCAUUUUUUAUGAUGAGAACAGAAGAGUUGCCACAAUGCUCGAUGUCACCAACCCCAGGAUUGGAACUGCUUCAACCUGAAAAAAGAUACCUGAAGCUUAUGAUAAGCCUUCCUCUUUAGAAUGAAGCAACGAAGAAAAUAUCAUAAACUAGCUGAAAUCAUAAACAUCAACAUCAUGAAGAUGAAGAUAGAGCGGGAAACAGUGAAAUAAGAAAAUCUAGAUUAAGUAACGUGUUCAUAGUCUAUGUAAAUAUUUCGAAUAAUGAGCAGUUUAAUGCUGUUGAUCUUUUAUCACUGUAAUAUGUUGCUAAUUUACCUUCUCAAACAACAUACAUGUAAACAUUGUUGUAUAAAACUUAUUUAUAUGUUAAUAGUAUUGUUUUAAAUGUUGUUCCUAAAACCCGC